GGAGCAUGUGGUUUAAUUCGAUGCAACGCGAAGAACCUUACCAUCCUUGACAUUAUCAGGAUUUGUUAGAGAUAACUUAGUGCCUUCGGAACUGGUUGACAGGUGCUGCAUGGCUGUCGUCAGCUCGUGUCGUGAGAUGUUGGGUUAAGUCCGCAACGAGCGCAACCCUUAUCUUUAGUUACCAGCACGUUAAGGUGGGGACUCUAAAGAGACUGCCCGCUGACAAGCCGGAGGAAGGUGGGGACGACGUCAAGUCAUCAUGGCCCUUACGGGAUGGGCUACACACGUGCUACAAUGGGCAGUACAGAUGGUCGCGAAGCCGCGAGGUGGAGCUAAUCUAAGAAAGCUGUUCGUAGUCCGGAUUGGAGUCUGCAACUCGACUCCAUGAAGUUGGAAUCGCUAGUAAUCGCAGAUCAGAAUGCUGCGGUGAAUACGUUCCCGGCCCUUGUACACACCGCCCGUCACACCAUGGGAGUGGGUUGCAAAAGAAGUGGGUAGACUAACCUUCGGGGGGUCGCUCACCACUUUGUGAUUCAUGACUGGGGUGAAGUCGUAACAAGGUA
rnacentral:rRNA from 1 species